rnacentral:rRNA from 1 species
UACGGAGGGUGCAAGCGUUAUCCGGAUUCACUGGGUUUAAAGGGUGCGUAGGUGGGCAGGUAAGUCAGUGGUGAAAUCUCUGGGCUUAACCCAGAAACUGCCGUUGAUACUAUCUGUCUUGAAUAUAGCGGAGGUGAGUGGAAUAUGUCAUGUAGCGGUGAAAUGCUUAGAUAUGACAUAGAACAUCGAUUGCGAAGGCAGCUCGCUACACUAUUAUUGACACUGAGGCACGAAAAGCGUGGGGGAUCAAAACAGG